CACUGUGGCUUCCCUGUGGAGAACAGGACUGUAUCAAGGCAAGAGUAGAAAAAUAAGACCAGUUCUGAGGCUGUUUUCAGCUACAUCAAGUGUGGUAGUUGUAGAAGGAAAGAAGUAAACAAAUUCAAGACAUAUUUUAGAAGUGAACUUGAUAAGACUUGCUAAAGGGCCCAGAAAAACAGAGAACAAAGCAAGCCUGUAUUUCAGGAACAGAAGGGGCCUUAAAAAUACUAGGAUCAAUUAUGGUUCUAUGCCAAUUUUAAUCAAUAAAAAUGAAAUAGAAGUUGCUUGAUUUUCAAAUGUUUAUCCUUUAGGGAAAGGGGAGAAAUUCCUGUAUUAAUGGUAGACACACUUAUGUGUUGCAAUUUGUAUUAGAGUAUGCUAAGGAAGGCUAUUAGCCCCCUCAAGUGACUGACUAUCACAUAAAGGGCACAAGAGAGACAGGGGAGAGAAGGGGUGACCUAGAAUCACACAAGCUUCUCCAAGAAGACUAAAGUGGCAAGGGCGGCUGCAAAUGAAGCCAGACUUUUUUUUUUUCAACAAAAGGUAUAAAAAUUAAUAGCUCUUUUUUGGUUCUUAAAACUGAACUGGAGUUGCUACAGCCCUGGAUGUCUGCUGUCCAACCACCUUGGAUAAACUGAAAAAAAGAGGCAGUAGGGAAAGGAGAAAGAUUCCAGAGAGAAAACGUAAUAUAAAUGACCUUGUACAUCCACACCAUGUACCUCCCGAGACAGCAAGGAAGUUAAUUAGAUGGCAUUUGGAUGUGAAGGAGAGAAGUGUAAACCACCUCAUGGCAUUGGGAAAGAGAGGAAAACUGGCCUUAAUGCGGGGCCUUGGAUGUCCACUGACUGACCAAACACUAAAGUUGGUUUGUCAUUUAUUGAUUAUGAUAGCAAAAAUUUUUUAAAAACCAGUUCAACAUGGGCACCUAAGAAUACAGACACCGGCUAUAAACAGCCAGUACAGUCAUACUAUGCAUGUUGGAUGAAUCACAGCUCUGCACCUGCUGCUAAUGUCUGAUGCUAAUAAAUCCCUUGUCUAUCCCAUCUUGGCUUAGUUAGGAUCCAUUGGCUUCUUCCAGCUGACAAGGUUUCUCUAAUCUUGUACUGAAAAUCCCUGUCCUGCCUUUGACUCUGCAGCUCUCUGCACAAAUGCCUGAACAAAAGGGGCACGCUUUUCGCUAUUAUCAUUACCUCUUCCUACCAGAGAAGUCAUCUCCCUUCCUCUGUCUCUGUCUGAAACUAUAAUGGUUAACUUCAUAUUGGGAGAGAAAAACGGCUUACCAAUAAGGGGGGAAAUCAGGAAUUCAUUAAAAAAUAUAGUAUACUUAUAUCACAUGCAAUGACAAAAUAAGAAAAGGGGUGUCAUAGAAAGACUAGAAUAAUUGAACCUAAAAUAUGCCUUAAAAUAAUGAAUUAAAGUUCUUAAAAUCUUUGUUUCCUUCAUGUCAGUUGUGGUAAGAGGUAAUUCCUUGUAAAUUUGUUACCAAAGUCUCUAUCUGUCCUUCAUUCUGAUACAAUAAAAAUCAAGAUGAACUUA